GAGAGAGGCCUGCCCGCAGCUAAGAUUGCUAACCCUAGCACCCCGGGUUGGAGUCCCGGGCUCUUCUCA
rnacentral:sRNA from 1 species